rnacentral:rRNA from 1 species
GAUGAACGCUAGCGGCAGGCCUAACACAUGCAAGUCGAACGGUAACAGCAGAGCUUGCUCUGGCUGACGAGUGGCGCACGGGUGCGUAACGCGUAUACAAUCUGCCUAUUACUGGGGUAUAGCCCGAAGAAAUUUGGAUUAACCCCCCAUAGUAUUGAGAUAAGGCAUCUUAUUUCAAUUAAAACCACGGUGGUAAUAGAUGAGUAUGCGUCCUAUUAGUUUGUUGGUAAGGUAACGGCUUACCAAGACUUCGAUAGGUAGGGGUCCUGAGAGGGAGAUCCCCCACACUGGUACUGAGACACGGACCAGACUCCUACGGGAGGCAGCAGUGAGGAAUAUUGGACAAUGGAGGCAACUCUGAUCCAGCCAUGCCGCGUGCAGGAAGACUGCCCUAUGGGUUGUAAACUGCUUUUAUAGAGGAAGAAACCUCCCUUCGUGAAGGGAAUUGACGGUACUCUACNAAUAAGGAUCGGCUAACUCCGUGCCAGCAGCCGCGGUAAUACGGAGGAUCCAAGCGUUAUCCGGAAUCAUUGGGUUUAAAGGGUCCG